rnacentral:rRNA from 1 species
AUUGAACGCUGGCGGCAGGCCUAACACAUGCAAGUCGAGCGAGAGGCGGACGGGUGAGUAAUGUCUGGGGAACUGCCUGAUGGAGGGGGAUAACUCCUGGAAACGGUAGCUAAUACCGCAUACCCUCAGAUGUGCGCACAUGGGAUGAGCUAGUAGGUGGGGUAACGGCUCACCUCGGCGACGAUCCCUAGCUGGUCUGAGAGGAUGACCAGCCACACUGGAACUGAGACACGGCCCAGACUCCUACGGGAGGCAGCAGUGGGGAAUAUUGCGCAAUGGGCGCAAGCCUGAUGCAGCCAUGCCGCGUGUGUGAAGAAGGCCUUCGGGUUGUAAAGCACUUUCAGCGGGGAGGCGUUACCCGCAGAAGAAGCACCGGCUAACUCCGUGCCAGCAGCCGCGGUAAUAC